AUUGAACGCUGGCGGCAUGCCUUACACAUGCAAGUCGAACGGCAGCACGGGGGCAACCCUGGUGGCGAGUGGCGAACGGGUGAGUAAUGCAUCGGAACGUGCCCAGUAGUGGGGGAUAACCAGUCGAAAGACUGGCUAAUACCGCAUACGACCCAAGGGUGAAAGCGGGGGACCGUAAGGCCUCGCGCUAUUCGAGCGGCCGAUGUCUGAUUAGCUAGUUGGCGGGGUAAGAGCCCACCAAGGCGACGAUCAGUAGCUGGUCUGAGAGGACGACCAGCCACACUGGGACUGAGACACGGCCCAGACUCCUACGGGAGGCAGCAGUGGGGAAUUUUGGACAAUGGGCGCAAGCCUGAUCCAGCCAUGCCGCGUGCGGGAAGAAGGCCUUCGGGUUGUAAACCGCUUUUGGCAGGAACGAAACGGCGCAGGCCAAUACCUUGCGCUAAUGACGGUACCUGCAGAAUAAGCACCGGCUAACUACGUGCCAGCAGCCGCCGUAACAC
rnacentral:rRNA from 1 species